rnacentral:rRNA from 1 species
ACUCCUACGGGAGGCAGCAGUGGGGAAUAUUGGACAAUGGGCGCAAGCCUGAUCCAGCCAUGCCGCGUGAGUGAUGAAGGCCCUAGGGUUGUAAAGCUCUUUCACCGGUGAAGAUAAUGACGGUAACCGGAGAAGAAGCCCCGGCUAACUUCGUGCCAGCAGCCGCGGUAAUACGAAGGGGGCUAGCGUUGUUCGGAUUUACUGGGCGUAAAGCGCACGUAGGCGGACUAUUAAGUCAGGGGUGAAAUCCCGGGGCUCAACCCCGGAACUGCCUUUGAUACUGGUAGUCUUGAGUUCGAGAGAGGUGAGUGGAAUUCCGAGUGUAGAGGUGAAAUUCGUAGAUAUUCGGAGGAACACCAGUGGCGAAGGCGGCUCACUGGCGCGAUACUGACGCUGAGGUGCGAAAGCGUGGGGAGCAAACAGGAUUAGAAACCCUGGUAGUCCCAUGAU